UACGUAGGGGGCUAGCGUUGUCCGGAUUUAUUGGGCGUAAAGAGCGCGUAGGCGGCCGAGUAAGUCCGACGUGAAAUCUGGAGGCUCAACCUCCAGCGGUCGUUGGAAACUACUCGGCUAGAGUCCGGAAGAGGAGAGUGGAAUUCCUGGUGUAGCGGUGAAAUGCGCAGAUAUCAGGAGGAACACCGGUGGCGAAGGCGGCAUCCUGGACCGGUAUUGACGCUGAGGCGCGAAAGCCAGGGGAGCAAACGGG
rnacentral:rRNA from 1 species